UAGAGUUUGAUCAUGGCUCAGGAUUAACGCUGGCGGCGUGCCUAAUACAUGCAAGUCGAACGGAAGUACCUUCGGGUACUUUAGUGGCGAACGGGUGAGUAAUACAUAGGUAACCUACCCUUAAGACGAGGAUAGCCAUUGGAAACGAUGGAUAAAACUGGAUAGGAUAUAGAGGAAGAAUCUUUUAUAUUUAAAAGAGAGAUCUGCUUAAGGAGGGGCCUGUGGCGCAUUAGCUAGUUGGUGGGGUAAGGGCCUACCAAGGCGAUGAUGCGUAGCCGGACUGAGAGGUUGAACGGCCACAAUGGAACUGAGAACGGUCCAUACUCCUACGGGAGGCAGCAGUAGGGAAUUUUCGGCAAUGGGGGGAACCCUGACCGAGCAACGCCGCGUGAACGAAGAAGUUAUUCGUAAUGUAAAGUUCUUUUAUCAGGGAAGAAAGAGGAAUUUGACGGUACCUGAGGAAUAAGCUCCGGCUAACUACGUGCCAGCAGCCGCGGUAAUACGUAGGGAGCGAGCGUUAUCCGGAAUUAUUGGGCGUAAAGGGUGCGUAGAUGGCAUAGUAAGUCUUUUGUAAAAAUGCUGGGCUCAACCCAGUAGGGCAAAAGAUACUGCAAAGCUAGAGUAUGACAGAGGCAAGUGGAACUACAUGUGUAGCGGUAAAAUGCGUAAAUAUAUGUAAGAACACCAGUGGCGAAGGCGGCUUGCUGGGUCGAUACUGACAUUGAGGCACGAAAGCGUGGGGAGCAAACAGGAUUAGAUACCCUGGUAGUCCACGCCCUAAACGAUGAGUACUAAGUGUUGGUGAGAAUCAGUGCUGAAGUUAACGCAUUAAGUACUCCGCCUGAGUAGUACGUACGCAAGUAUGAAACUUAAAGGAAUUGACGGGAGCCCGCACAAGCGGUGGAGCAUGUUGUUUAAUUCGACGAUACGCGAAGAACCUUACCAGGUCUUGACAUAGCACGCGAAGGCGUAGAGAUACGUUGGAGGAUAGCGUGCAUACAGGUGGUGCAUGGUUGUCGUCAGCUCGUGUCGUGAGAUGUUGGGUUAAGUCCCGCAACGAGCGCAACCCUUAUUUCUAGUUACCAGCAGUAAGAUGGGGACUCUAGAGAGACUGCCAUUGAUAAAAUGGAGGAAGGUGGGGAUGACGUCAAAUCAUCAUGCCCUAUAUGACCUGGGCUACAAACGUGCUACAAUGGCUGAAACAAAGAGAAGCGAGCCCGCGAGGGGGAGCGAACCUCAAAAAAGCAGUCUCAGUUCGGAUUGAAGUCUGCAACUCGACUUCAUGAAGAUGGAAUCGCUAGUAAUCGCGAAUCAGAAUGUCGCGGUGAAUACGUUCUCGGGCUUUGUACACACCGCCCGUCAAACCAUGAGAGUUUGUAAUACCCGAAGCCGGUGGCCUAACGAAAGAGGGAGCCGUCUAAGGUAGGACAGAUGAUUGGGGUUAAGUCGUAAUCAAGGUAACCGUAA
rnacentral:rRNA from 1 species